rnacentral:tRNA from 1 species
CGGGUGGUGGCUCAGCUUGGCAGAGCGCUGCGUUCGGGACGCAGAGGUCGGGGGUUCAAAUCCCCCCCACCCGACCA